UUGUAUGGCGGCCUUUAGAUGGCGGAAAUCCGCCAUCAAUACUUCAGUUGUUUAGAUGGCGGAUGUCCGCCAUCUAUUCUUUCAGUCCGCCGAGGAAAGGGUUGGGCUCGACGGCGGUUCCAUUUUAUUUUCGAUGGCGGUGUUUAGAUGGCGGAAAUCCGCCAUCUAAACUAUCCCGUCCAAAAUUUCGAAUCUCCCCCAAACAAUAACCCGAUUACCCGAUUAAAUUGACUUAAGAUGGCGGAAAUCCGCCAUCUUAAGUAUUCGGGGGACUCGGGCGGAAAAAGCCCGCCCAAAUUUCGAUUGGGCGGAUUUUUCCACCUUACAUGGCGGCACUUAAGUGUACUUACAUGGCGGAAAUCCGCCAUGUAAGUUUUGGGGUUUAUUAAAAACCCCAAAUCAGAACAGACGCGUUGUCUGUUCUCGUUUUCUUCCUUCUGCCGACUCCUGCUGCCGUGCCUGUCUCCUCGUCGCCUCCGUCGUCGUCGCCUGUCUCCACUCCCAGUCACCGUGUCCUCGCCGUGAUCUCCGGCCACUUCGAUUCCAAAGGUUGAUUGAAGGUUUGUUUUAUAUUUUCUUUUGUUUUUUUAUUGUUUUUUGUUUAUGAUUAUUGUGUUGAUUGUGAAUGGGUUUAAUUUAUUGAUGAUUGGGUUUAAUUUAUUU
rnacentral:lncRNA from 1 species